rnacentral:rRNA from 1 species
UACAGAGGGGCAAGCGUUAUUCGGAAUUAUUGGGCGUAAAGGGCGCGUAGGCGGCUUUGCAAGUGGACGGGUGAAAUCCCUCGGCUUAACCGAGGAACUGCCUGUCAAACUGCAUGGCUUGAGACCGGGAGGAGGUGAGUGGAAAUUCCCAGUGUAGCGGUGAAAUGCGUAGAUAUUGGGAGGAACACCAGUGGCGAAGGCGGCUCACUGGACCGGUACUGACGCUGAGGCGCGAAAAGCGGUGGGGAGCAAACAGGG